CUUUGGGUAGAGUCUGUGGCUUCCCAGUAAAGUGUGGCUGGGGAUACAGCUGCAAAACAGGUUGACGCUGCCUCCCCUUUAUGAACCUUUUGACUUAAGCAAGAUAAAGGCCCAUUAGGUCAGCUGGGAAGAUUUGAAUGAUUUUUUGAUCCAAGCUUCUUCAACCAGCUCUUUAAAUCCUUCUUUGAAACACGAGUUACAACCUGCAGAAACAUUAUCGAUGGACAAAAUGUAUGCCAGACUUCCAUAAUGAAUACUGGCGUAGGGGAGCAAAGUGACUAGGCAAAGCUCAGACGGUACUGGAGAUGUAAUGAGGCAGAGAGAUACAGAGUCUGCUCCCAGAGAUCUGCGGAGGAGAAGUCUCUCAGAACAGCAGUGGGGAGACUUAGGAAAAUGGGAAGGAGAAAAGAAGCAACUGAAGACUCCAACUGAGGCUCCAACCUGCAACAUUGAUGACUUUGCCAGAUCCCUUCUAGAGAUUCAUUCAGCAUUCUUUGAAGCAUCAAGUCUUGGCCAGCUCUGGAGAAGAGAUUCUUAGUCAGCUGGGAAACAAAGGCUGCCUUCAGUGAACUAAGACCCAAAUUGUGGGCCUGCAUCCUGCAACCUGAAAGACACAACUGUUACACUUCCAGGAGCCUCCGAAGUCAGCGAGGAGGUGUUUCCCAGAAGAACCAUUACUGAGCUGGAAGCACGUUUGUCAGAGUGAAGUGACUACUGCGUUUGUAAAAGUUACUGUGGUCGAAGUUGCCUAGAACGGUGGCUGCUCGGUGAACUUUUGGGGAUCAGAGUUCCCCAGUGACCCAUUAACAACAGAUUUUUAUGGAAAAGAAGCAUGGUUAAACUGGUGAAAAUAACUGUGCACAAGUCAUAAUAGCACUCCGUUUGCAGAAGAGCUUGGCAGACUUGGCCUGGCAGGCGACCUGCACUCUGCACACCUGGCUAGCCAUAAGGCCAAUGUCAAAAAGAGGUAGAAUGGAACAAUGUCUUACUGUGAACUCAUCCAUCAGGAAAUACACCCAUUCAGCACUGAAAGCAAAAUCUAAACAGGGAGGCAGCACCCAGCUCAGACACAAACUCAGCAGAUGCAUGGCUUGCAGUUGAUCCCAGUAUGGGAUCCAUCAGAAGCAGUUUGUCUGUUAAAGCCAGGUGACCUGCAAAGGAAAAGAAAAUGGUGUUCGUGUCCUUUGUUGUUGCUUGAUGAUGGAUAAAGAA